UAAUUAAUAGACAUCCAUUCUCUCUUCAACUUUUGCUUGCCUCCCCCCAGUGCUCAUGUAAUAAGUAUCUUUCAUAUUCCCUUUAAAUCCUUUGGCAGCAUUAAUUCACUCUGAAUUUUUUUGCUAUCCUUAUCCAUUCCUUACUGAGCUUUAAAUGAAUCUGUAUUCACGUUUGAUUUCCUCCCCACCUUUUCCUAUUUUCUGUGCAGGUUUUUUCAGCUCACAUCUUUGAGCAGCACCUUUUGAAGUCACUGUGACUGUGGGAUAUAACAAUUAUUUCAUGCAUGCUGAUUAGUCAAGCGGAUUUAUGCACAGACUGCCGUAGAGAUUGGAAGGGGCGAAUCUGGAAAUAGCCCCUUGUGGAUUUUGGCUGCAGUGAUGGGUCAGGAUGGGAAGCACUGCUACCGGCUUCUCCUAAGCUCAGUGUCUUCCUACAAACCAGGCAAGCAGAAGGCAGGUCCCAGCCACAACCCCCAAAGCAAGCCCCAGCCCCAGGAAGUUCAGUGGGGUCCUUCAAAGGAUACCUGGCAUGCACCCAAUGUGUAUGCUCACAAAAAGCAAUAAAUGUCUUUCCCUCAGUAAUUAGCUCCUCAAAAAAGUAGUUAAUAUUUGUAUAGCGCUUUGAAGUUGCUAAGUGCUCAUUAAGCACACACAUUACUUUUGGCAUUUUGGGGUCCUUUCAGACUGUGGGGCCGUACACAGUUCUCAGUAUUAAUGAGUUAUGUGACAUUGCUUAAAGGAGAUGCACUUAGCAGAAAGGAUUAGUUGCUCUCUCUCUCUCCACACUGUUUUGACUGAAAUUCCAACUGGAAUUUGCUGUUUUGGGGGGAAAGGACUAUCUAGGUCCACUGUCCCUUAGGGCAGCUGAGAGCCUCUUGUUGGGCUCCUGGUCCAGCUGAAAAGCUUUUCUCCUAACCAGCUAACCAAGUCUGACCCCUUCCAAGCUAACAAGGUCCAGCUGCAAAUCCUUCCCCUCACGCAGGUGAAGACUGGCUGGGUUAAGGGGAAAAGGCAAGCUCUUCUCUUCCAGACCAGGCUUGUAGCUGGGGAGUGUGACUGACUCUGUCUCUGUCUCAGUGCACUGUAAAAAAGCAAACAUCUGUAGCAAGAAGCAUACUGGAGGCCUUGGUGGAGGAGGAAGGUUGUAUUCUGAAAAAGCAAAUGUUCAAAGGAGCCGUAGCUGCUGCUUCGGGCAGAGUGACUCAGCCCUCUGGGCAUGGGUUUGCCAACAUAAAUGCAGUUUAACUCAGCGUUUCCAUGAAACCGAUGAACUGACUGUCAUAACUUGAGGUCUGCUACUGCCGUGUAAAAACUUCCACCCGCUUUAGUGAACUUUUUGCUGUGGAAAAGGGAAGAAUAAAGCCAGCACAUUUGAUUUAUCGUCCGUGCAAUGCUGCUAUCUAUCUUACAGCAAGACACAGAAGCACUGUAUGAACACCCAGUAAGGCAAAGUUCCUGCCUUAAGGACUUUUGGGUCUACAUGGGAGAGGAGAUUGGGCAGGAAGUGAACAAGAGCAGCCAGAGGUGGUGUGACUGACCCAAAGAUGAUUCAGAUGUCCCAGUUCAAGGCUGCUCCUUGUCCUAAGACCUUUGCAGAACUAAAGUCCUCUCAUAAGUUACACAUCCUUCACUCAACAAAAUGCAGCUCUGCUUUCUUGUACAUCACAACACGGAGGAGUGUUGUGUCUGGUCUAUGUGAAGAGAAUAAACUAAUCUAGGAAGUGUGUAGAUGCUACAAAAUAUUUUGGGAACGCUUUCACACAUGAACUACCUUUGUGCACAUCUGAGAGCACAGUAAAUAACAUUGAUUUCUUUUUUCGGCAGCUGAGUCUGGAAACCUAACUCUAAAAAUCAUGAUAAUGCAGUUGGAGACCAAAAAUAAACUGUAAGUGUGCAUGCAGAACUAAUGUGACUCGGGGUUUGACUUUGGAAGCGGUCUGCAGAUAAGGAAUGAUUUUUCAGAAGUAUUUGUUGAACAGUGUGGAAACCCCCUACAUCUCAGUAAGUUUCAAGAUACUUGAAAGAUAAUGUAGAAAACAGAAAGAAGGGUAUCAAUAUUUAUUUUUUAAUGCCUGAUCUUGACACACAUGAGUAGUCUUGCUUGGACGCAAACCCCUUUCUCCUGGUAAACCUUUGCCACGUUUGUACAACACAAUAACCCAGACUAUUUACAUCCACCCAGCUGCCCGGUAUGGCACCCUAUGGGUGAAAGAUCUGCAUGUCAUCAAAUCCUGUACCGAAUGGUUUUCCUUUAAAGACACCAUUUUCAAUUUAUCUCAAAGUCCAGCUUAGCUCUAAGUAUCUCUUUUAUGCUGGUACCACCAAACUGUAUCAACCUUAUAGGAUUAUGAAGUGGGAUCACUUACCCUGUCAGCUCUCUGCUAGCAUUAUGGCUUCACAUUGAUAUUUCCAGCAGAGCAAAUGCUAUAUUUUAUUAGUUACAGAGAUUCAUUGUGCAUCUAGAAACUGCCCUCUGCACCCUGCUUUCAUAAUAGGAUUCAGUACAGCUGAGCAAAUACAACCUCUGUAAUAUAUAUGAAAUACAAGAAGAUAAUAGGAGCAGGAUAAACUCUCUGAUUAGCUAUAGUGUGCACUGUGAAUCAGAAAUACAGAGAUGCUUUGCAAGAUGGGGAAGAAAGGAAGAGGGAAAAUGUACUUAAGGUCUGCCGUGAAGGCCUAGUAAACCCUGCUUAAAGGAUUUCUAUCCUAACCAACUCUCUGUAAUCCAUACCAAAGGCCCGAAUGAGAUCACUACUUCAGUAUAUUUUCAAGCCAGACUUUAAAUUCUUCACAUUGCAGUCAAAUUGCAGGGGAAAAAGAAAAAAAACAAACCCAGUCCAAUGCACCAGUCGUUAGCAACCUCCAAAUAACGAGCUGACAGCAACCCCCCAACCCAAACAGACUGAGCUGCUUGUUCCUACUUACCUCCAUUUGUCUCUUGGAUAUUUCAAGCAAAGGCUCAUUUUGUCCUGCAGAUUCGGUGCCGCUGCUCAGUAUUAUCUUGCUUGAUCAUAAAAAGGCUCCUGACCAAAAGGAAGAGGAAAGCAAUACGUAAAACAAACACAGAAGCCCAAGAGGAAAGCUACACCCAAAAGACCAGCACUAAUAGCAACUGAGAGACAGGGAAGGAGGGAACACUCCCCGUUACUAACUUUUUCCAUUGAUACAUCUGCUACAAAACAAUUUUUGCUGCAAACUUCUCUUCCUUCUUGCAAGCAAAGCUUUGCUGUUUUUGUAGACCUCAGAUAAACUACAUGAUGAACGUGG